AUGACACUCAAUAGAUAUGACAGCAACAAAAGAAAAGUAGUUGGCCUACUUUGUUGUCAUAAGCCGCCAGUUGUUUUCUACCAAUGCUGGUUCGUAGUUGGCCUACUUUGUUGUCAUAAGCCGCCAGUUGUUUUCUACCAAUGCUGGUUCGUGCUAUUCACCGUUAUCAACAAAUUGAAAAAUCCUAAUUCAAACAUUUCUAGUACGCGUGUGCACAUGAUAAAUCGAAUUCAAGAUAGUAUUAAUUCAAAGAUUUCUAGACGCGGAAAAAAUUUUACUCAUUUUUUAAAAACAUUAAAGGUGUACUUAAAUUAG